GCCGAGGUGGCGGAAUUGGUAGACGCGCUAGCUUCAGGUGUUAGUUGGGGAAACCCAGUGGAGGUUCAAGUCCUCUCCUCGGCACCA
rnacentral:tRNA from 3 species